UUUCCUUUAAAUUAGGUAAGAUAAAAAGUAUAUAUUCAACAAAAGUUUCAAUAUAGAGAACAUCAUCCUUAAGAACUAUAAGAUUUUAAGUUGAAUAUUUAACCAUAUGAAUAUUUAAACAUAAGUCAUGGUCUUUAGCACUCUAUUAUCAUUUCUUCACAAUUUAUUACAUGAUGUUAACAGUAGCAUAUAAUAUAUACUGAAUGAUUACUAUGAAUAUAUUGAGUAGUUUCACAUAUGCUUUCAUAUUUAUUAUCACAAUUUCCUUAGAACCCAGUACCCCAUGAGUUCAAAUGGCAUCCUAUUAAAAAUGAAAGCUUUGAUUUCAGUGAGCCUUACUCCCAGAUUCUGAAAAAGGACCACUACUUCCUGCAAAAAUGUCACUCAGUGAUAUCUGAGAGUCUGCAGGUGUUAAUUUAUGUGUGCUCACAGACGUGCCUAUACUUGCUCAGUACCAUCAUAUCCAUAGGCAAUGGAUAUACAUUGGAAACUGCUAUUUAUUUCCAGUCACUGCUGGAUAUCCUGUUAUUCCUCCAAACAUCCAGAGACCUCUCAGUGUCUGCUAGUCAUCCUCUAAGUGCCACUGUGUCCUUCUGUUAGAACAGACAUCUAGAGUCAUUGCUGAGCACUGCCAAUGACGCACUGGCACACUUGAGUUGGCAGAGCUGUUCAGGAGGGGCAUGGUGAACUGAAGCAGUGUGCCAAGUGCUUUCCUCUCUUCAUAUCCCAAAACAUCCUAGUAUGUCACCAUGCUUUACAAAAUUUCUAAUGGAAGGGCUGUUUUUGGUUUGGGUUUUUAACUUUAAUCCCCUUACCUUGAUAUUUUUAUCCCAUUAUUCCAUGGACUUCUACAGGGAAAGGAAGGCAGGGUGGGGAAUUUAUAUCACAUAACAAAUCUCAAAAAGGGAUGGUGUAUUUAAUUUAGGAUUGACUAUUCUAAUCGCCAAGGCUUUCUUACUGUAUCAAGUUCAUCUUACCUAUCUCCUACUUCUCUCAGAACUAGCUCUCCUAAAAACCCUCUAAUCUCCUAAGUCAAAAUUUACUUCAUUUUUAAGUAACAGAAAUUUUUAAGUAACAGAAAUCUAAUUCAUUGUUGAGCUGGCAAGUGGGUAGUGAAGAAAAGUUACUGGUUCAGCAAAUUGAAAUUCUAGGAAUGGUUUUGUCUUUAGACACAACUUUCUCCAGGGUCUUCAAUGAUAUCUUUAAGGUGAUCUCUCUUUUCCUCCAUGUCUCUGUUUUUCUUUGUGUUGUCUUUGGUCUCAGAUAGCUCAUUCAUUUUCUUGGUUCCAGAAAAUGUCAUUGGGGUGGAUUCGAUUGCUGCAACUUGAGUAACUGGGCCCACAGCUCAGCAAGCCACUAUGGCCACUGUGAUUGCCAACCCUUGUUACUAACCAGGGAAAGCCAUGUAAUUAACACUCCUAUCAGUUAGGGGGAAGGUACUUUACCAAAAAGAAAAUAAGCUGGACAGUAGCAAUUGUCUGCUAGAGCCCUGCUCUCAAUGGAUACCUGCCGGGCUGCUUAUAUCACAAAUGUGUGUUGCGAGACAUGUUUUUAUAAUAUUUUCUUAGCCUCUUUGCUGAAAACUCCAUCUUGUCCUUCCUUACUUUGUCCCGUCUUCCUGCUUGAGAAACAGUCACAAUGAUGGUAAAUGACUUAGGCUUAAGAACAAAGACCUAAAGGCAUGGGUUAUUUGUGGGGUCAGCUGAAUGAGGACAUAAUACAUUGGUCUAGGUGCACCGGACCUGUGCAGAUCGGCACGCCAUUUGCACAAGCAUGAUAUGUCCUCCAAAGAAUAAGAGAAAGAGGAACCUCAUGACCAAGUGGUUUAUGAGUGGUCGCUAACAGAAUACGCUUUAGAAAAGAGAACCAAGGUGCAAACCUAGACACACACAGGGUUGCCACAAAUAGGCAUGCCCUUUGCAGAAGCACAGUGAGGAUUCUCUGAAAUGCUAUGCAUAGAUAGCUAACUCAAAUGCUAAUGAUUCUUAAAUGCCUAAAGUUUAGAGUAAAAGUUUAACCAUCUACCAGCUAAGUGACUUUUAAAAUAAUAAAAGAACUUAUAAAAUAAUAAAAAAAAACCCCUAUAUCCUGCACCUACGACCCCCUUUUCAUUUGACUGUAAUCCUCAAGAGCACAAUAAAAGCAGUGUGGUUUCUUGAGGCAGGGCUCUUGGUCCCUGUACCUUGAGUCCCCCGGUUCCCACCUUUACUUAAGAUAAAUGUCUCUGUCUUGUUUUUUUUUUCUUUUUUUUUUUUUUUCCUUAAGUUCCAUAGCACCCGUUCUUCAGCCCCAUCCUGCUGAGCUGGUCUCAGCAAAUAUGCCCAGAUAAAUUGGUACCUCAGAAGUGUGAAUGGCAUGGUUUAAAUCCCUCCCUUAGCUCGUGGCAAAGAGUCAGGCUUCAAAAUUGGUCUCAUUGCUCCAAUGCCUAUGUUCAUUUGACCAUGCUCUAUUUUCCUAAUUAUAAUGUGUUUUCACAUUUCAAAAGAGCAUUCCUAGCUGUAAUUAUGCAGGCGCAUCAAGAGAAAAUACAACUUCUGAGGAGUCAGAAAGGCUAAAGUAGAGUUCCUCAAGAUAUGUUCCACAUCACCUGUUUCAAAAUGAUCUGGAGGGUUUAUUACUGUUCAUAUUUGAAGAUCACUUCUGAACUCUUAACUUGAAAUCCUUGGGUUUCUCUGCUGUCUGCUUUGGCUUGUGCUGGUCCAUUGUUAUUGGUAUAGUCCAAAAGGGUGAGCCCUCUGAUGAAACAUUGGCCUCUCUGCUGUAAUGAAAUUUCCCACUGAACUAGAUAUUUGCGUUUUCAUUCAUACCAAUUUACACAAAAGGAACAAAGAGCUAUGUAUUACCAAUGAUUUAGUGAGCCAUUAGUGCAGUGCAAAGUUUUGGGGUACUGCUAAUGCUAUGGCUCAAGUCCCCUAUAUUUGACUCAAAAUUCUAGCCAGGGUUUUUUCAGAAAUAUAUAUCAGAGAUGCUUUAUAUUUGCAUGGAACAAAACAGCACUAUUUUCACCUUGGAGUUAAUGCAACACAGAAGCAGUAGCUUUGCCCUGGCCACCUCUAAACGUCACCAUUUUUAGGAAGCUCCUCGGCUACCACUGUGACGGAAUAUAAGGUUAAAAGCUAAGAGGAAAAAAAAGUUGUUUUUAUUCUUAAGAAAUUUAAGGCCUUCAGUAAUACUUUAAAAUGCCUAUGUUUUUUAGUAUAGGAAAGCUGGCAAGGGCAAAAUGAAGAACAGUCAUACACCCACAAAGGAGUGCUUGCCCACGUUUAUGCACAUUAAGACUUAGCAAUUUGAGGCAGUUAUUACCGACCUUUGUAGUAUACUGGAAUCAUCCAGGGAGGAUUAACAAGCAGUGUUGUCUUUAUCCCAGGACCAGAGAUGCUGAUAUAAUUGGCCUGGGUAUGGUCUUGGUACUCCUCCCCAAGUGAUUCUAAUGUGCAACAAAGGUUAAAACUGACAUAGACUGGGAACUAUUAUAUUGAUUAGUUACAAAUGCCUGCAAAAGUGUUUUAAAGGCCAUUUCUCUUCUUAGCAGAAAUGUGAAGAAACUGUUUAUCAGUAUAGCCAUAGAAAUUGGUAAUGUUUUUCUAGGAGAAAUAAUAGUAAAUAUGAAAACUUAGAGACAAGCCUAAGAUAUCAACUCUCAAAAAUAAUUAGAUUUGGAAUACAGAGGGCUGUAAACAGGGCAGAGUGGAAAAUAAGGGCUUUUGGGUAAAGGAGAAUGAAGGAGUGGAGAACCUUACCACCCAGGAUGGGGAAAUUGAAUUCAACUUGAGAGUCAUUUGAGAGCCACCAUAGGUAUCUUCAAAUGGCAGAUGAAAACCGUGCUUGAAAAUGAAAACGUCACUAAUAGCAACGUGAGGUGGUCAAGCAAUGUAUCUUUAAAAGAAUCAGCUCCAGGGAGUUUUGUUUCCUUCUUUCUCCCUAGCACCUGUUUUUAGCUGCCAUGAUGAAGUAAUUGUAUUUGCAAUAAAGAAACCGCAUGAGGAAUCGUUAAAUUAUCUAAUAUUUGCAUUCUCUAAGUUUGCAUUAUCUGUAGAGCUAAGCCAGACCACAAUUGUUAGUCUUUGGUUAAAGACUGGUAAGAAUGAGUUAGGUUAAGUUGUCUUUGGUUGAGUUUACUGCUUAACCUGCAAGCCAGCAGCACAAAGGAUGCAUGUGAGUAAAUAGGACACCAUAGUGCCUGAGCUGUUCCUCACAGAAGCAAUUAUGCCUGAAGUAGGAAGAUCAUCAGAGCCAGCAUGGAGUGAAGAAUUCAUCAUGUGAGAAGCAUUUACAACCAUGAGCUCAUUGCUUUUUACAUUCUUUUAUUUAGGCUUUUAUGUAUAUCAGUCUUCAAGGAUCCAUUCAAUAUAACAGGACAGUAUUGCAGCAAUACUUGAGUAACAUACUCCCUUACUCUAAUCCUCACUUUGUUGUCAAGGAGGCAGUCAGCCUGAAGACUACCAAUCAUACCUAGCAACUGCAUUACAGGGACCACUGGAUGUGUGAUGGUGCUUGUUCCCGGGGCUGAGGACAUUCAAAUAAGGGCAGGUUCUAUUUAUAAAUUACUGAGUUGUAAGAUGAUCCACUGAGGUAUUUCUACUGUCAAUAUAUUAAACUAAAAAACCCUUGGUUUAGGAUGCCCUUAGACUGCAGUGGCUCUAAUGCCUUUGUAACUUCCGUAAGCAAAUGUAAACCUAAAGCAGAACCAGUGCACUCGAAAAUGCACUGAAAUGUAACUUGAGAACAACUAGUCACUAGGCUUUCUCAAAUAAGGCAACCCCUUAAGCUAUAGCCAACCAAAUAAUUGUUUUGCUUUGCCUUCUUAUCUCCUCUGUAAAAUCUUUGCCCAAGCUCCUGUAUAUGGAGUGUUUUAACCACCUUCAGUUUGGUGCUGCCUAAUUCAAAUUUACAUUUGCUCAAAUAAACACUUCAAACUUUACUGUACCUUAAUUUGCCUUUUAACACGUGUAACAAAUUUGACAGUUGUUGUCAGGCCCAGAAUCAAGGUUUGUAUUUCUCUCUCCCAACAUAUGGGACCAUUUGCCUCCUAUCUGAUGCUUCAAAUUUUAGGACAUAUUUUAUGCGGUCAGAGUUCCUCAAGGUAUGAUCCUUGACCAGCUGUAAGAAAAUCACAUGGGCUUCUUUCCCUCAAAAUGCCAUUAUUUGGUCCUAUCACAGACCUAUUGAAUCAGAAUAUUUGGUGUAUAGAACCUCUGAAGUUUAAUUUGUAUAGGCCAACCAAACACCAGUUUGAAAGGUACUCCUCUAGUACCUGGUGCUUUUAAACCUGGUGCUUCCUAAAGUCAAGAAAUUGGAUGCAGAGCCAGGAGUUGUAAACUGCCAGCUGGCUGACAGAUUGGAUACCAGCAUUUGGAUACCAGUGUCCUUAAGUCUAUCUGCCUGGGUCCAGGUUUCAUAUCCUCACUGGACACAAAUUCCCCCAAUCCUGCUGAUGACUUUUGGUUUCUGUCCAGUAUCAGAGUCAUAAUCUCAGACUCCCGUGUGCUUUGGCUGUCAAUAAUCCCUCUGCUUAAUCCUGAUCCUAAAUCUCUGGGAUUCCUGUGGCCUCCACUAGCACAUUAUGAACUUCAAUAAAUUCUUCCUUCAUGGUCUGGGGUAGGAAAGUUAUGAGCUAUUUUUAGGCAGUGGUGAUUAUGGCCUGACAGUAAUGAGACAGAGAAGAUUAAGAAUAGCCACCAUCUCAAACUAGACAUACCCAUUUGGACAGGGAUAUUCUAGAUGAUAUUCUAAUCUCAAGUGUUAGCUUGGUAGCAAAUCCAAGCCCCCGGGAAAAGAGGUAACCAAAAUGAAAAUACAAGGAUGGUACUCCAGGGGAGAAUUCUUCAUUGGGAGAUUUAAAAUCAGACUGUGCUGUUUUCCUAACCAGUGGCGAUGGCAAUUGAGGAAACAACAGUCAAUGUUGAAAAGUCAAGAUUGACAGAUUUGAGUAUCAUGAAAUCUUAUAAUUAGAUAACAGUGCUCCAAGUAUUGGUCUUUAGUUUAAGGGCAGAAUUUCACCAAGUUGGGGUAAAGGCGGGUUUUUUUUUAUUUUAAUUUUUAUUUUUAAGGAGAGUUUCCAAGUCAGGAACUCACAUACAGGGAACCUCACUUUGGCAUAUGAUGUGGAAACAUAUCUUAGAACCUGCUGGAAGAAAGGAUGGGCUGGAGCCACUUAAAUCUCUCCUGUUUUUAGUUAAGCUGGGCUUCACUGAGGCUGCCUAUCAGAAUUAUCUUUGGAGCAUCUUUGUUGUUGUUACUUUAUUGUUGUUAUAGAUCCAAUAACUAUUUAAUCCGAAUUCCCUGUAUUUUGGCCUGGACAACUGCAUUUUAAAACUGUACAGGCAAUUCAUAUGAACUGUCAGAUUAAGAGCUAUAGUCCUAGGAAUCAGCAUUGGGAUAAAUCUGAUAAGGGUGGUUGGGCAGCAAAGUUGGGGGGGCGGGGGGUGAAAGUGGCAAGUGGAUGGAGCUACUGGUCCAAUCAAAACAGGCUUCGGGCAAAAGUGCUAUGAGGAAAGUUAACCCUUAAGAGGCAUAAGGGUGUUUUCACUUUUCUAGUCCACCUACUUCUUAGGAUUAUAAAGUAUGAGUCAAAAGAGCUCUGCAUUAUAUUCCAAAUUAUAGAAACCACUGCUGUCCCAAGAAGAGGGAGCCUUUUCUGCACCUCUGCCUUUUUUUCCUUCCCAUCAAAUAUAGGUUAUCUUGACACACAGAAGAUUCUAUUUCUAACCUAUGGCCCAUUAGACAUUUAGGUGCAGUAUUCAAAGGAAUUUCCUAGUAUGAGAAAUCUCUGAAACAUCUAAAGAAAGUAAUUUUGGUAAUUUUCUGUCAUUCAAAAAUUGUUAACUGAUCCACUUCUCGGCUCUCAGGUAUAUUAUUUUAGAUAAAGGAAUUUCAGUGGCAGCAUUUCUUUCAUAGCCAUCCAGAAAACCCAUUACAAACAACCACAGGAAGGUGACCAUCAUUUCUCCAAAAGUGAGAGUAAACACAAGGCUUAAUUUGUUCAUGUGCAAAAAACAGUUUAGAUUGAAGGCAGAAUCUAAAGUAAAGAUUUUAUUUCUCUUUGGUCAUUUUGAUCUCCCUGGUUGAAUGAUAUUAACUGAGAUAAGGAAGCAUCAAAACAUAGUGCCUCGUAAUCAGAGUUGAAGGAUUAUAACUUCAUUCAGGAAUUACUGGCUUAAAUCUUCAUGGCUCAAGUAGUAAAGCUUGUACCCCUUAGAUGUUUUCAUCUGGGGUGGCCUGAGCUAAGAGUCAAGCCUGUAGGGACUUAAGAGCCAAAUGGUUAAAAGCAAAGAUGAAUUUGGUAAUUAGGUGCUUGGGAUUCAUAUCUGUCUACUAAGUGAGGAUAAGAAGGCAAAAUCUGUUCUCUUGCUUCUAAGCAAUUGUUCUGUUUCAAAGGUUAGGUCACUUUAUGAUGAUGUUUGUGAGAUACCCAAGAUCAUUAUCACGGUGGAAAAAGACAACCAGUUCUGAAACAGCUUUGAUCAGCAAGUGCAGCCACCGUGGAUCUGGGACUAGAGAGGACAUUACAUCCCUGGCACCACAGUAGCUUAGAAUGAGAGCUCAGAAGUGCUAAUUGGCUCACUGUUUACUGAGAGAUGUGCCCCCUGUUGGAAUCUACACUGGGACUAGUAGAACUCCUGAAUGCAUAGCCUUUUUUUGUUCAGUGUAGGUAGUAAUUCUGAGGAAGAUGAUUUCAGAAUAGGUAUAAAUAUCUAAAGCUGCAAUUCUUUACUAACUUCAAGGAAUCCAGACUGUUUUGUGAUUAAGUUGCAAGUCAGCCAUCUUGUACUAGUACCUUAUUCAGUUACCUCUUUAAGUUACCAGGAAAGACAUCAUUUUUCUUUACUCACCCUUUCCCAAAGCUAAACAGACAAGCCUCCAUAAUAAAUGAUACUUCUCCAGAAAAUAUUAACCUCAAGGUGCAAUAUUUUGUCCUUGGGAAUAGGAAAAAUAUGCACAGGGAAAAAGCAGGUCUAUAACAAGAGAGUCAACUAUCAUUUCAAAUCUGCAAAGUAUCAACUUAGAAUAGAUUUACAAGGAGAUCCUGCUGAGUAGCAUUGAGAACUAUGUCUAGAUACUCAUAUUGCAACAGAACAAAGGGUGGGGGGAAAAAUGUAUACAUGUAAGAAUAACUUGAUCCCCAUGCUGUACAGCGGGAAACAAACAAACAAACAAAAACAAACAAAAAAACCAAAAACAAAAUCAAAUCUGCCAACUAACACUUUCAUCUCUUUUCCUUAUUCCAGAUCGCUGCUGCAUGGAGGCAAGUAUAGAAAAUGAAAAAAGUAAAAUUUUCAUGCUAACUUUGUUUCUAGUAUACCCAGGAAGGGGAAGAUGAUCAGCCCUAGGUCAACCUCUGAUUCAGCUUGGCUCAAUCAGGAUCUCUUCCUUAGGAGUUUGGAAGUCAGGCUGAGAAAAGGAAUGGCUUAACUUGCUAAACCAAAAAGUCAGGAGCUAUGAGUUGUUUACAGCAAAUCAUCCACUGUGGUUCUCUUUUUCUUUUUUUUCUACAGGAAAAAACUGGAAAGCCUAUCUCAUAGGGAAAAACAAAACAAGCAGAUAAGCAUAGAGUGACAUGCUUAUAUUAGUUCAAUUUUGAACUAAUGUAUUUGUAUCUCAUUAAUAUUUUUCUACUAACCAGUAAAAUAAGAACUAUUUUAUUAUAGCAUAUGAUUCUGCUCUUUUGAAUUGUUUUUCCAUAUAAAUAUCUAAUGCCAUAUCACAAAUCCCAACUAAUAAGAUUUUCACCUACUAAUAAAAGAAAUUGUCCCAUUUUUACCAUU
rnacentral:lncRNA from 1 species